GACGAACGCUGGCGGCGUGCCUAAUACAUGCAAGUCGAGCGGAGUUUUGAUGGAAGCUUGCUUCCAUCAUUGCUUAGCGGCGGACGGGUGAGUAACACGUAGGCAACCUACCCUCUAGACUGGGAUAACUACCGGAAACGGUAGCUAAUACCGGAUAAUUUCUUUCCCUCCUGGGGAGAGAAUGAAAGGCGGAGCAAUCUGCCACUAAAGGAUGGGCCUGCGGCGCAUUAGCUAGUUGGUGGGGUAACGGCCCACCAAGGCGACGAUGCGUAGCCGACCUGAGAGGGUGAACGGCCACACUGGGACUGAGACACGGCCCAGACUCCUACGGGAGGCAG
rnacentral:rRNA from 1 species